rnacentral:lncRNA from 1 species
AAGCUCACAAAAUCUGAUGGCUUUAUAAACAGGAGUUUGCCUGCACAAGCUCUUUUUUUCUUUCUGGCCGCUGUCCACGUAAGAUGUGACUUGCUCCUCUUUGCCUUCUGCCAUGAUUGUGAAGCUUCCUAAGCCACGUGGAACUUUCUGGAGGCUGGAAGUCCAAGAUCAAGGUGCUAUCAGGGUUGGUUUCGGCUGUGGCCUCUCUUCCUGGCUUGUAGACAGCUAUCUUCUCGCAGUGUCCUCACGUGGCCUCUUUGUGUGAAGGAAGCUGCUAAAGAAUGUGCUUGACUAAAACAAGGCAAUAAGCAAAAGGAAGUCAUAGCAUCCAGAAAAUGGGAUCCAUCAUGCGCACAAAGAAAAGGUGAAGAAAAUUUCCAGGAUGUUCAGAACCCACCAAAAACGAAAGAUUCUGGUCCAGAUCAGAAGAGAGGGAAACACUCUGAAAAAGUCCCUCAAAUACAAAAUUAAACAGAGUUUAAAUGAUGUGCUUGACCACAAUAAAAGGCUUCUUGCUCUGUAA